AAGAAAUUUUUCUUUGUGUGUAGAUAAAUAAUACAUUCUACGGCUAGUAAUAGAUAACCAUUUCAGUUCACGUCUAUAA